rnacentral:rRNA from 1 species
AUUGAACGCUGGCGGCAGGCCUAACACAUGCAAGUCGAACGAGUGGCGGACGGGUGAGUAAUGUAUGGGGAUCUGCCCGAUGGAGGGGGAUAACUACUGGAAACGGUGGCUAAUACCGCAUACUAUCGGAUGAACCCAUAUGGGAUUAGCUAGUAGGUGGGGUAAAGUCUCCCCUAGGCCACGAUCCCUAGCUGGUCUGAGAGGAUGACCAGCCAAACUGGAACUGAGACACGGCCCAGACUCCUACGGGAGGCAGCAGUGGGGAAUAUUGCACAAUGGGCGCAAGCCUGAUGCAGCCAUGCCGCGUGUAUGAAGAAGGCCUUAGGGUUGUAAAGUACUUUCAGCGGGGAGGCGUUACCCGCAGAAGAAGCACCGGCUAACUCCGUGCCAGCAGCCGCGGUAAUUC